AGUGAACGCUGGCGGCGUGCCUAAUACAUGCAAGUCGAACGGCCGCACAGUAAGCUUGCGCCUCUACGGUUAGCGACUGGCGGACGGGUAACACAUGGAUAAGAUACUUCUUAGUCUGGGGUGACUACGGAGAGCCGCAGCUGCUAAUAGCGAAUAUAUUCAACCGGUGGGAGCAGGAGUUCUAGAGAGCUUGCCUGUCUGUAAUAGCCGAUGUCGGAUUAGCUAGUUGGCGGGGUAAGGGCCCACCAAGGCAACGCACCGUAGCUGGUCUGAGAGGAUGAUCAGCCACACUGGAACUGAGACACGGUCCAGACUCCUACGGGAGGCAGCAGUGGGGAAUAUUGGACAAUGGGCGCAAGCCUGAUCCAGCCAUACCGCGUGAGUGAAGAAGGCCUUCGGGUUGUAAAGCCCUGUUGUUAGGAAAGAAAAGCAGUAGAUUAAUCCCCCGCUGUUCUGACGGUACCCAAAGAAUAAGCAACGGCUAACUUCGUG
rnacentral:rRNA from 1 species